AUGAACGCUGGCGGCGUGCCUAAUACAUGCAAGUCGAGCGAACAGACGAGGAGCUUGCUCCUCUGACGUUAGCGGCGGACGGGUGAGUAACACGUGGAUAACCUACCUAUAAGACUGGGAUAACUUCGGGAAACCGGAGCUAAUACCGGAUAAUAUAUUGAACCGCAUGGUUCAAUAGUGAAAGACGGUUUUGCUGUCACUUAUAGAUGGAUCCGCGCCGCAUUAGCUAGUUGGUAAGGUAACGGCUUACCAAGGCGACGAUGCGUAGCCGACCUGAGAGGGUGAUCGGCCACACUGGAACUGAGACACGGUCCAGACUCCUACGGGAGGCAGCAGUAGGGAAUCUUCCGCAAUGGGCGAAAGCCUGACGGAGCAACGCCGCGUGAGUGAUGAAGGUCUUCGGAUCGUAAAACUCUGUUAUUAGGGAAGAACAAAUGUAUAAGUAACUAUGCACGUCUUGACGGUACCUAAUCAGAAAGCCACGGCUAACUACGUG
rnacentral:rRNA from 1 species